rnacentral:rRNA from 1 species
AACGAACGCUGGCGGCAUGCCUAACACAUGCAAGUCGAACGAGACCUUCGGGUCUAGUGGCGCACGGGUGCGUAACGCGUGGGAACCUGCCCUUAGGUUCGGAAUAACUCCCCGAAAGGGGUGCUAAUACCGGAUAAUGUCUUCGGACCAAAGAUUUAUCGCCUUUGGAUGGGCCCGCGUUGGAUUAGCUAGUUGGUAGGGUAAAAGCCUACCAAGGCGACGAUCCAUAGCUGGUCUGAGAGGAUGAUCAGCCACACUGGGACUGAGACACGGCCCAGACUCCUACGGGAGGCAGCAGUGGGGAAUAUUGGACAAUGGGCGAAAGCCUGAUCCAGCAAUGCCGCGUGAGUGAUGAAGGCCUUAGGGUUGUAAAGCUCUUUUAGCCGGGAUGAUAAUGACAGUACCGGGAGAAUAAGCACCGGCUAACUCCGUG